CAGCAAGGGUACCGCUUGAUGGAAGGACAUGUAAUUUUUCGGGUUGUUUGUGGAAAUGGUAAUGAUUUUGACCCAGGGCUCUCAAGUGUCACGGCAUUGACAAUCGCAUUUCGAUGUCUUAGUCACGCACUCCCCGCCACACACAAAGAAAGGUGAUACUGAACUAGUUAACAAACAGAAUACGACUCAUGGUGGUCAUUUACAUGCUACGUACAGAACACUUACAGACUUACACUUACAGGUCUUCAAAGACAAACAGUGACGAUUAAACGUAGCUCCUGCAUGUUCUCUCAGUAGAAUCACAAACAAAAGGGACUAACUACGGUAAGAGAGGAGGGACAAAUCUAAGAACAGAAAUGCAAAGUAAUAAUGCAUGUUUGAUACCUUUCUUUUCCAUUGAAUUAUAAUGGGAUGUUUACUGAACCUGAUGGCCCCUACCAAGAAAGAAUCCACCAACCCUACAGUGACGUCGAAAUGUUUGUGUCCCUCUACUUUCUGACAGCAGGGGAAACUGUACCAGGUUGUUUUGUUGAGUAGAAUCAGAAAAAUUAUAGUUUUUAUCAGGUUGUUCCUUCUUUAAUCAUGUAUUUCACUGUAACCGUAAGUAUAGAAUGUCACUUCUUUUGACAUAUUGUCAGGGCUCAUUUCGGUCUCUAGUGACGCACUCCCGCCACACAUCCAAUUUCUCAUGCCAACCCCCCCACCCCUUAUUUUUUCAAAAUUGGUUAAAACAUGAUGAUUCUUAAAAAAAUCAUAAGAAAUUACAUCACACAUUACAUUGGAACUAGUUACCAUGGUUACCAAAGAACUCUCGGGCAGUGAUGUAAUGCUUUGCCUAGCAACAGUUGCUAAGCUACGAGGUUUAUUCUUCAUCUGACCACUGAUCUUAUCAGUCAUUCCGAACCACACCAAGAAAGGAGAGGCAGCUUUUUGUGUUGAGUACAAGGAUACUGAAGUACAAGGUUAAAAUUUGGGGAAACAAGUGAAUUUGAAGAAAAUGUCGAACUUAAUGUUUUUAGGCAUGCAUGUACCAGCUGUACAAAACAUUUUUAUGGGGAACGAAAUGUCCUGUCACAAUUCUAAAAAACUGAAGGCCAUCAACUGUCUCACGGAGCAUUCUAAUGGAUACGACAUUAACGUUAAAUGUGACAUUUCGGAAGGGGCAAUUGAUUGUAGCACAGAGCACAGUCUGGAAAGCAGCGAUUCGACUGCCUCAAAAGGAGAAACUCCAUUAGCUGACUUUAGACGGACACCCAGUCUGGAAAGCCACUAUUCAACUCCGGUUGAGGUCUUGAACCCUGAAUUGGACCCUUUUGGAGAAUUCAUCGUUGACACUUUGACUCCAUCCAGUUUGCCAUGGAACUCAGAGUUUCCCGUCGUUAUUAAAAGGGUCACAACAACAACGGAGCCUAUUCAGCCAGAAGCAGCCUCUAUCCCAGAGGUGCAAGCUGAGACCGACACACAAAAUCGGUGGGACAAAUUAUGCUGCAGGACUGUAGUGGAGAAGCUAGUCAGCCGGGUAACUGGUGAUCCAAUAGCAGCUAACCUCCACAAAGUCACCGUUGAUUCAUUGACGCAGCAGGUCUUUGAAAAGCUCGAACAUAUUGAUGUAGCCGUGGAGGCACAGACACACAACAUGAUGAGGGCUGACAUGAAAGCCCACAAGGACCUGCUGAAAAUGAUGAACUGUAAAAGUAGACGAGCGUCGGUUCAGCAGCUAACUCUGCAGCUAACUGUGGAGCUGACUGAUAAUCACGUCUGCGAGACACUGGUAAAGCACAUGAUGAAGCCAAAGAAAUCCAGCUUGUUCAAAAGAUUCUUGAGCGCCUCAGCAAAACCGUCCAUCGCGUGUUUCAGACUUGCCUCAGGAGAAUAAAAGGGGUUGUUCUUGUGUACGGUACGAGCGUUUGCGCCACUCCCCUGUCGACCGCCACGUCCACGGCACACCCCGGCACAUCAUGGCGUCCCAGCCGACCCCCCCCCCCCGUCGACAGUAGCUUCCGCGCCAUUGCCCACUCCCCCUGUAGAC
ensembl:lncRNA